GGCGUGAGUUGGGUGCGCUCGGCUUGCCAAGGGUUAAACGGAAACGAGCUAGAUUCCUAGACAGGAAAGUAAGACGGGGGGGGGCAGGGUCCUCCAGAGCGAAAGCCCAAUCCCCCCCUUCCCUGCAAGAAGUCGGGCGUGUGGGGGUCCCCUUGGUUCGGCUCUGCAGAGGCUGCCUGGGGGCGCCUGCUGGGAUCCGGUGAGUCUCCUCUCUCCCAGCAUAGGGCCCAUGGGGAGAGCGGAGGUCCCAGCGCUGCAUGGCGAGAGGGGGCAAGUCAGGGCGCGGAGGGUCGCAGGAGGGCGGCAGCUCUGCUCUUCCUUUGCAUGGAUGCGCUGCUGGCCCCUUGGGGAGGGGUCUGGGGUCCAGGAGUGGGGAAAUGCAUGCAGAGAAACCCCAUUCAGAUGUAUGGAUCAGUCCCCUUGUAUAACAGAGGUUGUCCGCAGAUAGAAACAUUCGGACAUGAAAUAUACCCUGGUCCCUAAAACCUCACUGGUGCAAGGAAGGAAGGAAGGAAGAAGGAAGGAAGGAGAGCAGAGAAGAGAAAGCGCUUCCUCUUGCAGGGCAGAGUAAAACCUGUGGAACUCCCUCCCACAAGAGGCAGAGGCCACCAAUCAAGGUGGCGUUAAAAGAGGAGGAGGCCAAUCUGUGGAGGAGAAGGAGAGGGCAAUGGGCGGCUCCACUUCUCUGUCUCCCCUAUAGGAGGGAGGCCUCUGGCCUGAUCCUGCAGGGCCCAUUUUCUCCUCCAGUGCUCAGUUCCUCCAGAUGCAAGCGUGGCCUCUGAGAUUGCUUGGGGUUGAGCUAGAUGAUCCUUGGGGUGCCAUCCACCUCUAUAGUUCCAUGAAAGCACCACUGGAGGUCUCACAAGCCAAGGCAUUGAGAGCAGGAGAGGUCCUGCUGGAAUGGAAACAACCAGUGCAACUGUUUUAAAACAGGAAUCCAAUGUGUUUGUUGUGGGGGGACUCAGUGGGGAGGGGUAGACCCCUGGAUGCCGCCUUGAUCUCCUUGGACAAAGAGGUGGGAGAGGAAAGUCCUUCAUAAAGAGAGGCAGCCCAGCCAAUCAUCUGGCUGUUGCAUUUUGGACCAGUUCCCGAGUCGCCUUCAAGGCAGUUCCACACAGUUCCAUCCCAUCUGAUACGGAGCAAGGAAGACCAGCGCCAUGUCCUCUCUGUCCCAAAAGGUCUGUGGGGUGGGGAAGUAGCCUGAGCUGGACAUGGGCCUCAAGCAACCAUGAUGGACCCAGGAGAGCCCUCAAGUAUUCAUGACUGGGGAGGGGGCAUGUUAAGCAAUGUAACAUCAUCAUCAUUUUUGCUUGUUCCCUGCCCAUCACCCGAAUUUCCAAGAGCAGAUUACAAAAUUUAAAAAACAGCAAUAAGAACAGUUGAAAACACAUUACACGCAUAGAAAGGCGAGUCCCACUUUAUUUGCUUUUGAGUGUUGUUGUCCUUUGACCCCACCCCCAUGUCAUUUGGCCUCACCCACUUGGCCCUCAGGAGUUAGCCAGAUAAGGGAAUAAAUGUGCUCUGAAUGGGCUUGGGCAGGAGACAACUCUUGAGGAACCCUGGGUUAGGAUCCCCACUAUAACCCAAUGCUCAGAUAACACUCAGUACAAAUGAGUCACUUGUCAAUCACAGUUCUGACUUCAUUCCUUGACUGAAAACUCUGAAAGGCAGGGGCAACCAGGCUGAUUCAUCUCUCAGAAAGACCAGCAGUUCCCUGCACAUUUUGCAUGGUCACUUUCCCUCUAGGAGGGCGGGAGACUUACCGUAUUUCUCUCUCCAUAAGACACACUUUUUCCCUCCUAAAAAGGGGACAUGUGUGUGCGUCUUAUGGAGGGAAUGCAGGCGGGAGGCAGGCAGAAAACGCCCCCAAGAGCCGCACAUACGCUCCGCGUGGCUCUUGCAGGCUUUUCCCCGAGGAGGGAGGAGGGACUGACGUGGCCAGUCAGUCCCUUCUCCCUCCUUAUAGAAAUGCCCGCAGUUGCUGUGCACCCUUUAAAGAGCGUGCGGCUCUUGUGGCUUUUAUGGGAGGUGGGGGAAGGGACAGAGGGCAGCCCCUCAGUCCCUUCCCCCACCUCCUGGAAAAGCCCCCAAGAGCCACACUCCCUUUCACUAGCUGCGUGGAGAAUGUGUGCGGCUCUUGGGGGCUUCUCCCUCCUGGGGAAAAGCCUGCAAGCGCCACACACACGCUCCACGCUGCUCGUGAAAGGGAGCGCUGAGCAGAGCCUGGGAUGCAUACUGGCUCUGCUCAGCGCUCCCUUCACAAAUAUUUUUUUUCUUGCAUCCCCUUCUAAAAACUAGGUGCGCCUUAUGCUCAGGUGCAUUUUAUGGAGCAAAAAAUACGUUUUCCUUCUCCUUUCUAAAGAAACCUCAAGAGUCUGGGUUGUGGUGCAGUCCAGAGCUGACUCUUCCAAGACUCAUACAUACUUCCUCACGGAACAUUUUUCUCCUCCAGGCAAUAUGUCAGUUUUGUAACAGAACGAUGUAUUUGCUUUGUAGAAUUUGCAAGGAUCUCUAAUUCAGACAGACAGAACUUGGCAGAAGAUCAAGGGAUUCCUUCAUCUCUCUUGGAGGCUUCCUGAGAGCGCAGAUGGAUGAGAAAAAUUCAGCUGGGCCUGAAGCAGGAAGAGACCAUGCCAUCAGAACUGGGAGCCGUGGAGGAUUCUGGGGAAAAACUG
rnacentral:lncRNA from 1 species